GAGACAAGAUAUUGCUUUCUUUGAUAAAGAAACAAAUACGGGAGAGGUUGUUGGUAGAAUGUCUGGUGAUACUGUUCUUAUACAAGAUGCAAUGGGUGAAAAGGUUGGAAAAUUUCUGCAGCUGAUGGCAACAUUCAUUGGGGGUUUUGUAAUAGCAUUUGUCAAAGGGUGGAUGCUUGCCCUUGUCAUGUUAUCUGCUAUUCCCCUGCUAGUUCUAGCUGGUGCAACUGUGUCCAUUUUGAUAUCCAGGAUGGCAACUCGUGGACAAAAUGCUUAUGCAGAAGCAGCUACUGUAGUAGAACAGACAAUUGGCUCAAUUAGAACUGUUGCA
rnacentral:misc_RNA from 1 species